CGAACGCUGGCGGCGUGCUUACCACAUGCAAGUCGAACGGAAAGGCCCUGCUUUUGUGGGGUGCUCGAGUGGCGAACGGGUGAGUAACACGUGAGUAACCUGCCCUUGACUUUGGGAUAACUUCAGGAAACUGGGGCUAAUACCGGAUAGGAGCUCCUGCUGCAUGGUGGGGGUUGGAAAGUUUCGGCGGUUGGGGAUGGACUCGCGGCUUAUCAGCUUGUUGGUGGGGUAGUGGCUUACCAAGGCUUUGACGGGUAGCCGGCCCGAGAGGGUGACCGGCCACAUUGGGACUGAGAUACGGCCCAGACUCCUACGGGAGGCAGCAGUGGGGAAUAUUGCACAAUGGGCGGAAGCCUGAUGCAGCAACGCCGCGUGCGGGAUGACGGCCUUCGGGUUGUAAACCGCUUUCGCCUGUGACGAAGCGUGAGUGACGGUAAUGGGUAAAGAAGCACCGGCUAACUACGUG
rnacentral:rRNA from 1 species